rnacentral:sRNA from 1 species
AAAAAUAAUUAUUAAAUGUCAGUGACAGCCAUUGUAAAUAAAUCUUAACUCCAUGACUUAUUUCACAAAAUGACUGUAAAAAUAUAUAUAUAGAUAUUAAGUAGGUUUAAACAAU